rnacentral:rRNA from 1 species
UACGACUACAUAUCAGGCAUAUCAAUAAGCGGAGGAAGAGAAACUAACAAGGAUUCCCUUAGUAACGGCGAGUGAAGCGGGAAGAGCUCAAAUUUGAAAUCUUCAAGGGUUUCCCUUGACGAAUUGUAGUUUAUAGAAGUGUUUUCUGUUAGAGAGGUGGUAAAAGUUCUUUGGAAUAGGACAUCAUAGAGGGUGAGAAUCCCGUAUUUGACCAUUACUUCCAGCGUUGUGAUACACUUUCAAAGAGUCGGAUUGUUUGGGAAUGCAGUCCAAAAUGGGUGGUAAAUUUCAUCUAAAGCUAAAUAUUGGCGAGAGACCGAUAGUGAACAAGUACCGUGAGGGAAAGAUGAAAAGAACUUUGAAAAGAGAGUUAAACAGUACGUGAAAUUGUCAAAAGGGAAGCGUUUGACACCAGUGUUGUUUUCUCGAAAAUCAAUUAAAAAGUAUGGGAUUUUGUAUUGUUAAGACCUUAUCAGCUUUACGGCUACUUUUUUCUUAUUCUUUUUAAUGCACUUUUCGUUUAGCAAGUCAACAUCAAUUUCUUUUGUUGUAAAAGAGUCAUUGGAAGGUGGCUUUCACUUCGGUGAAAGUGUUUAUAGCCUUUGGCUUCUAGCAAUCGGAGAGAUUGAGGUCUGCAGCGUAGAUCCUUCGGGGUUAGAUACAGUUAGAUGCUAAGUUAUAGCUUUUCAUAGACAACUUGUUGACUACUGAUUAAGUCAUUGUAGCUUACUCGCUUAUGCUAUUUUACCUACGCUUAGGAUGUUGAUCUCUCACAGUCGAGC